rnacentral:rRNA from 1 species
UACGUAGGGUGCAAGCGUUGUCCGGAAUUAUUGGGCGUAAAGGGCUCGUAGGCGGUUUGUUGCGUCGGCUGUGAAAACCUGAGGCUCAACCUCAGGCCUGCAGUCGAUACGAGCAGACUAGAGUGUUGCAGGGGAGACUGGAAUUCCUGGUGUAGCGGUGAAAUGCGCAGAUAUCAGGAGGAACACCGGUGGCGAAGGCGGGUCUCUGGGCCGAUACUGACGCUGAGGAGCGAAAGCGUGGGGAGCGAACAGG